AUGGAACCCCCCGAUCGUCCCGGAGGCCUGGGGACAGUAACCCCUCUCCGCUUAGCAGAGACCCCAAGGGAGGACCCCGGCUCGGUCUGGCCGCCAUCGGGUCAGCCGCAGUGCCCCCCUACAUUCCCCUACCCCUGCACACGCACCUGCACACGCACCGGCACACUCUCCUGCGCACCCGCGCACACGCACCGGCACACUCUGCGGCACACCCGCGCACACACUCGGCCCCCUCGCCCCCGCUCCACAAGCAGAAAUGUGGAAAUGGCUCACAGGCGGCUCCGGCAGCUGCAGCAGGACGCGGUGGCAGGGCGAGGAUGCGGAGGAAGGAUGCGGUUCCAGACGCUUCGCAGUCGCGGGGGCGGGGCGGGGGAGGGGCCGGCCGAGACCGAGGCUGCUGUUGCCAGGAGACGCGGGCCGGGGGAGGGGAGCGCUGCGGCUGCCGCCGCCCCCACUGCGCCCCUCCAGCCGUGCCCUGGGCGCCGCGGCCUCCUGCGCACCUCACACGCGCACCGCACACACACCACACAUACGCAUACAGCUCACACACUUCACACGCACACCGCACACGCACACCUCACACACACCACACAUACGCAUACAGCUCACACACUUCACACACACCUCACAUACGCAUACAGCUCACACACCUCACAUGCACACAGCUCACACACUUCACACACACCCCUCACACGCACGCCUCACACACACACCUCACACACACCACACAUACGUGUACAGCUCACACACUUCACACACACACACCUCACACACACACCUCAUACACAUGCCUCACACAUACGCCUCACACACAAGCCUCACACAUAUGCAUAUAGCUCACACACUUCACACGCACACCUCACACACACACUUCAUGCACACCUCACGCACACCUCACGCACACCUCACACACACCACACAUACACAUACAGCUCACACACCUCACACACACCUCCCACAUACACACCGCACAUACUCAUACACCUCACACGCACACUGCACACACACUGCACAUACGCCUAUACCUCACACACAACCACACAUACGCAUACAGCUCACACACUUCACACACACACACCUCACACACAUGCCUCACAUACACACGGCACAUGUACACCUCACACAAUCUCACACACACCUCACAUAUGCAUACACCUCACACAAACACCUCACACACACAUACCUCAUAUAUGCGUACACCUUACACACACACCUCACACACACCCUGCACAUAUGCAUACACCUCACAGACACACCUCACACACACCUCACAUACACACACUGCACAUAUGCAUACACCUGACAGAUACACCUGACACACCUCACAUAUGCACGCACCUCACACAUACACCUCACACACACUUCGCACACACACCUCACACAUACACACCUCACAUAUGCAUACACCUCACACACACCCUACAUAUGCAUACACCUGACACACAUACCUCACACACACCUCACAUAUGCACACACAGCACACACACAUACCUCACACAGACACACCCUUGUCACACACAUACACCUCACACACACACCCCUCACUCACCUAUACCUUGUCACACACACCUCUCACAUAUGCAUACAUCUCAUACAUAUACCUCUCACACACACCUCAUAUACACAUACCCCUCACACACACAUGCACACUUCACACACACACCUCGCACACACACACCUCGUAUAUGCAUACGCUUCACAUAUACACAUAUGCUUCUCACAGGCACACCUCACACACCUCACAGACACACCCCUCACACACAUUGUGCACACCUCACACACACUCACCACCUCAUUGUGGGGAUGGUGGGGGCAGACAGCCUGGCCAGCUGA
rnacentral:lncRNA from 1 species